GUAGGUGGGUAGGUAGGCAGGCAGACGGGUAGGUACUCAAUUUUUCGCACCCAGCGAUGUCUGUACACAUCUUCGCACGUGCACUCUCACGAGGGAGCAGACAGGUCCAAGUCCAGAAGCGAUUUGGCAGAAUAAUGCGAACCGUCUUCCAUAGUUCUAUCUAUCUUGGGUGUACUCUCUCGAAGGAAAUCUCGUUUGCGUUUGAUGGUUUCGUAGUGCACUUUCGUGGCCUUCCAAGGAAAGUACCCCACUACGGUACCGUCCACAUCCGCGAGAGCCUUCUCAAGACUCGGCCUUGACUCUUCCGUCUGCAAACCAAGGUUCCAAAUAAUCGACUCGACAGGUACCACUAGCGAUUUCCUCCAUGGUGGUGUAGAGCGUAUCGGUCGAGGCAGCGUCAUAGGCCACAGGGGUUGGAGCACCUUUCUCUCCGAGUGUCACCGUACAACACCAAACUCCAGGACAUGUCCAUCCGUUCGUAUCUCUUUGGAAGGACGUAUUGUAGCACGGUGUAGGGGCUAGUUGUGCCAAGGUGGAGACCUCCAUGUACAGACCGAAACUCGCGAUGGGAGAGAGAUCCAGUCCCAUCCAGAUAUGGAGUUUGUAGUACUGAGGUUUGCAACCAUUGGGUUUUUUCGGUAUGGAGCCUUGUACUCGAGUAAAGCCCGGUUCACAGUACGACGCUGGCACAGCGUCCUCCGAGCGUCCUCGACGCUGACAAGGACGCUCACACGAGCGUCAGCGACGACGCUGGCGCUGUACCAUUCACAGUAUUGCGUCUGACGAGCGUCCAUCGCACAAAGAACACACUGCAACUGUCGUCUGGCGCUGCAAAGUAACCACGAGUGUACAAUGUACUUGCGACAGACAUGGACGACGACGUUUUGCUUUUGUUGAGCUGCUGCGCCGUAGUCUCGAUCAGUCGUUUUCUUUCAUGCUUAUGCCCUUGUAGUCCUUUGACUGAACUUGCCAAAUGCAGGGAAAACCACGCUCACACUCAAAGAAAAGUUCAUCUACGAAUCAAUGAUCGAUGCCAUGUGAAUGAAUAGAAUUUCCGGGAUACGUCCAGUGGCUGACUUUCGAUUGGUUGAAGCGGAGCACGUGAUGUCAUCGGACGCUGGGUCACUUCCGGCUAGGAUGCUCGAUUAGAACCUUUCUCUAUUCCAGCGUCGUAGUGUGAACCGGGCUUAAGGCGAUAUCUCGGUCUACCUCUAAAUGCGAUACCGAACCAAUUGAAGAUUCUAAGCCCACAUCUGCGCGCGACAUACUGGCAAAGUAAGGAAUCAAAAAUUUCUUCAAAUAAUACCUGCGCAAACUAGUAGUAAGAACGGCUUAUCUCGAUCGUCUGCAGAGAAAUGAGUGAUAUGGAUGGCGGCUAGAAUAGCAUUCUUCUCGCCCCAAUUUUGCUGGAAAUCCACUCGAAGUUGCUAGGCUAGCAAAACUCGGAUAUCCGGGCAUUUGGAAACACGUGAUUUUAUUACUGAUCGAGUGGAGAAGAAUCCAGAAAUACAAGAAGAGCCUUCUUCUUUCGAAAGUGAACGUCGUCAGUCGUGCUAUCAACUCGGGUUCAGACUCUACUAUUAGUUCCAUCUCGUCUUACGGAAACCCGAGCUGGAAAUAAGUAUUCAGACGUCUCCACCCACAAUGAAAGUCCGUCUGGGUUUAGAAUCCGUAAACGUCAACGAUGCCAACACCUCGAAGAAAUUAGCGAAGUAAGCAGAAAAGACUGUCAACGGAGAGGAACCGAACAGGGACGGAAAUGCAGAUCUUAUCUAUGACAUUACGAAGAAAAUUUUGAUUAUUUAAUUAAGUUAGUGCAUUUUACAAUAUCUAUAUAUCUCUCUAUUCUAGGUCUGACACAUAAGAGCUGUAACGUUAUUCUCUGCAAGGACUUGAACACUCUUCUGCCCAAAUACAUCUUAGUAGAGCGUCACCCGAAGCAAAGUCCGAAGACAAAAACUGGAUUAUUGUAGAUAUAGCUAAAGAGCAUACUUAGAUCAGGAAUUUGCACUGCAAGAUUAUGUACGAAAGUUGUAUUCUAACGCACCACUGCCUUGAACAAGCUGACAUAAUGUCAGCAAAUAGGUUUUGGUCAAACGGAAAACCCGAAGACGCUGACUCUUUAAACAUGGCAUUGGAUUC